ACACAGGUAGGCAGGGUGAGAAUCCCAAGGCGCUUGAGAGAACUCGGGUGAAGGAACUAGGCAAAAUGGCACCGUAACUUCGGGAGAAGGUGCGCCCUUUGGUGUGGUCACGUGCGUGACUGAGCAUUGAAGGGUCGCAGUAACCUGGCCGCUGCGACUGUUUAUCAAAAACACAGCACUCUGCAAACACGAAAGUGGACGUAUAGGGUGUGACGCCUGCCCGGUGCUGGAAGGUUAAUUGAUGGGGUCAGCCGCAAGGCGAAGCUCUUGAUCGAAGCCCCAGUAAACGGCGGCCGUAACGAUAACGGUCCUAAGGUAGCGAAAUUCCUUGUCGGGUAAGUUCCGACCUGCACGAAUGGCGUAACGACAGCGGCGCUGUCUCCACCCGAGACUCAGUGAAAUUGAAAUCGCUGUGAAGAUGCAGCGUUCCCGCGGCAAGACGGAAAGACCCCGUGAACCUUUACUAUAGCUUUACACUGAACGUUGAGUUCUUCUGUGUAGGAUAGGUGGGAGGCUAUGAAACCAGGACGCUAGUUCUGGUGGAGCCAUCCUUGAAAUACCACCCUGAAGUGCUUGACGUUCUAACCUAGGCCCGUAAUCCGGGUCAGGGACCGUGUAUGGUGGGUAGUUUGACUGGGGCGGUCUCCUCCCAAAGAGUAACGGAGGAGCACGAAGGUACGCUCAGCGCGGUCGGACAUCGCGCACUGUGUGCAAAGGCAUAAGCGUGCUUGACUGCGAGAUCGACGGAUCAAGCAGGUACGAAAGUAGGUCUUAGUGAUCCGGUGGUUCUGUAUGGAAGGGCCAUCGCUCAACGGAUAAAAGGUACUCCGGGGAUAACAGGCUGAUACCGCCCAAGAGUUCAUAUCGACGGCGGUGUUUGGCACCUCGAUGUCGGCUCAUCACAUCCUGGGGCUGUAGCCGGUCCCAAGGGUAUGGCUGUUCGCCAUUUAAAGUGGUACGCGAGCUGGGUUCAGAACGUCGUGAGACAGUUCGGUCCCUAUCUGUCGUGGGCGUUGGAGAUUUGAGGGGGGCUGCUCCUAGUACGAGAGGACCGGAGUGGACGUUCCGCUGGUGUUCGGGUUGUCAUGCCCAUGGCAUUGCCCGGUAGCUACGAACGGAAGUGAUAACCGCUGAAAGCAUCUAAGCGGGAAGCACGCCCCAAGAUGAGAUCUCCCGAGAGCUUGACUCUCCUAAAGGCACCAUCAAGACUAGGUGGUUGAUAGGUCAGGUGUGGAAGCGCAGCAAUGCGUUGAGCUAACUGAUACUAAUGAGCCGUGAGGCUUGACC
rnacentral:rRNA from 1 species